CGGUAACAGGUUAAGCUGACGAGUGGCGAACGGGUGAGUAAUGUAUCGGAACGUGCCCAGUCGUGGGGGAUAACUGCUCGAAAGAGCAGCUAAUACCGCAUACGACCUGAGGGUGAAAGCGGGGGAUCGCAAGACCUCGCGCGAUUGGAGCGGCCGAUAUCAGAUUAGGUAGUUGGUGAGGUAAAGGCUCACCAAGCCGACGAUCUGUAGCUGGUCUGAGAGGACGACCAGCCACACUGGGACUGAGACACGGCCCAGACUCCUACGGGAGGCAGCAGUGGGGAAUUUUGGACAAUGGGCGCAAGCCUGAUCCAGCCAUGCCGCGUGCGGGAAGAAGGCCUUCGGGUUGUAAACCGCUUUUGUCAGGGAAGAAAAGGUUCUGGCUAAUACCUGGGACUCAUGACGGUACUUGAAGAAUAAACACCGGCUAACUACGUGCCAGCAGCCGCGGUAAUACGUAGGGUGCAAGCGUUAAUCGGAAUUACUGGGCGUAAAGCGUG
rnacentral:rRNA from 1 species